rnacentral:lncRNA from 1 species
AAUCGCCCAGAUUGCUGGGUAAUCUGCGGCAAGUUAAGAUCUUUAUCAAGUACCCGAAGUCGUACGCACUGUGGAACGUCACCCAGCUCACGGCCGAGUCGUUGCACACCAGGCCGGACGACAUCAGGAGCUCGGCGAAGCGCCGGGAGUCGAUCCCCCGCGCCCGGUUCUUCUCGAAAUCGAUCCCGUUGGACCUGAGGAGGUCGAUGGACUCGGGGGCGUAGCGGUCGCGGUAGAUGUCGAAAUCGCGAAAGUUGAACUCCCAGACGUAGCGGACGGAGCCGCCGGCGCCGAGGUCGGGGAGGUUGCCGGCGGCGUCGGAGAGGGUGAGGCCCACCUGGAUGAGGUGGAGGGCGUCGACGUUGGCCUUGAGGAGGGCAUACCGUUCGGCGGGGCAGAGGAUGGCGGGGUGCUUCCGGGAGCGGUGGACGACGCCGGGGAACUCCGUGUCCAUGGCGGCGAAGGGGUGACACUCGACGGCCUCGCGGAUGAG